AGAAAAUCAGUUUCACGGCUGUGGCGGGAACGGGAAGGAUAAUAAAAAGUGUCGUUAAGACAACUGUCUAAUUGUGGAGCUCAGAUUUCUUUCACACACUAAACGCAAACAAUCACUAAAAUCUCCUCUGGGAAUAAUUUCUGUCAGCUUAUCCCCAAUUGAAACCCUAAUUUCCCCAAGAUGUCUUUCCUCGAUGAAUUCCAAGCCAGUAAUCACUCUUUAUCUCUCCGUGUGUUAUUUCAUGAUUGUUUCUAAUCUGUAUAUGUUUUGAGCAACUUUUUCACAUUUUUCAAUUUUCUUUUCCUUUUCAUCAGUUGUUUAAUCGGCAAAAAUAACCAACAAAUUCCACUGUUUGAAAUGAGGAAGAAAAUUAAGGCAACAGAAUUGGAUUCCUAUCAAAUGUUUAAAAUCUGAUGACAAUUUGAAAAUGGUUGCUUGUUUUCCCAUAAAUUGAAGGAUUCUUGCAUAAAUUAUGUGUUGAAAUGAUUUAUUACUGUUACUUAUUAUAUUCAGUUCCGUCUUUGCUUUGACGGUCUAUGUUUGUGAGUUUUUAUGUCUAACAGUCUAUUGUUGCACUUGAUUCUAUUCUUUGGGCGUGAAAUACUUUUAUCUUUAGUUGUGAAAAAUGCUCAUACUGACAAAUACUUGCAUGCAUUUGGCUUGGUUGCUUGAGUGCUCGAGACUUGAUAGCGGAAGUCUUGAUAGAAGUGCAGGUUCUUGACAUUUUCAUCAUCAACCGUAGUUAGUUUAGAAUUCAUUAUUUGAGAAAAUAUGGUAUGUUUACAAUAAACAGAGGAGGGUUUUACAUUUUGAAUUACUACCAUCACACGGGGCACUCCAUUUUGAAAAUUAGAUAUGUUGUUUUAUCAUACAUCAAUAGGCGUAUUGUUGUCUUUUUGUUUUCUAUUAUUGAAUUUAAAAUUGAUUUUAUGUACAGAUCUGGAAUCACUGCCCAUUAUUCUGCAGAAGAAGUAUGCCUUGUUACGUGAUCUAGAUAAAAGUUUGCGGGGUAUGCCUUGCACCGAAGACAAUCAUUAGUAAUGUUAAUAUCAUUAUCUUUAUUGUUUUUUUAUAGGAUCAUUAUCUUUGUUGUUGUUCUUAAAUUUUUCUUCUUUUCCAUCUUUAUUACCUUAGUGUCUUCUAUUUGUAAUACCUGAUUUCCUCAUAAUCAUUUGAAUGGACAGAGGACCCAUGUAAUAAAGUUAAAGCGUACUGUUUUUCUGAUUUAGAUGAGAGCAAGAUUAACAUCAUGUUGUUUAUGCUACUAAGUUUGGAGUAGAUGUGUGUUCAGACUUUUUCAAAAGAUAUGGUAUCAUUUCUUUGUGUUUUUAUCUGGAUUUGUCAUUUCACAAGGAAGGGUCUGUGAUGAGCAUGGUACAGGAAGAGUACAUGUGAUUGCCUCUUAGUGCAUGUGUUUGCCCUGCUUUGUAAUACGUUUGGAAUUUUUAUUCUCUGUCCAAUCCUGCAUUAUACUGUGGGGUUCAACUUUACAGUGCAUAGAAUUAUUUCCUCCUUACACUCCAUUGCUCUCCCUUUCCCUGCUCUUUGCUAAUGCAUGAACUGAAAAUUGAUCAAGGUUUUAAUUUUCUCUACUUUUAUCCUUUUCCCAUGUACAAUUUUUCCCCCUAAAUGUAUAUGAGCAGAAAUCCAAAGUCAAAAUGAACAACUUUGUGAACAAGAAAUAAAGGAUAUUCAGCGAGGAGUUAAGGCUGGAAAUAUUACAGCUGAUACCUUACUUAUCAGAUUCUCUGAUGAGGCACUUGAUGAGCAAAAGCAUAGCAUCAGAAUUGCUGAUGAAAAGGUUGCAUUGGCUGUCCAAGCAUAUGAUUUGGUAGAUGCACACAUACAACAACUUGAUCAAUAUUUAAAAAAGUUUGAUGAAGAACUUAGACGUGGUAAUUUACUUGUCUACCUUUGUAGCUUUCUUUUUUAGAGUUUCUCAAUAGGUUUUGUUAGAUUAUCUUGUGUUGUGAUAUCUUAGCUCCACUUUUUCCAUGUAUUUGUCUUAACUUUAUGUAAAUAAUGUGGAUUUUUUAUAUAGAAAGAGAAAGCGUUGCAGCAACUACAUUGCCUGGUUCAAGUCUUGAUGGCAGUGCUAAAUCCGGAAGGGGUAGUGGGGGUGGUAGAGGAGGGCGCAAAAAGUAUCCAUCUCUUCUAAUUUUGCUUUGUUAAUGUCCUUAGUGAUUACUUGACAUACAAUAACUAGAUUAAGCAUUUAAAUUUAUGGGUUUUUUUCCCCUUUUAUGGAAGUUAUUUGUUGAGUGUUGAUUUGGUUAAUGUCUCAUCUUUCUUUUAAUUAUAUAUAUAUAUUUUUUGAAAUGGAAGUUUUGAUACUGAAAUCUGUGAUAUCUGGAAUUAGAACAUUUUCCCCAAGAAAAGAUGACUUUUUUUAUAAUAAAAUCAUUCCAAGUAUGAGGGGAUUUAUUUGCUUAUGAUGAAGAAAAAUAGGGAAAUUCUAGGAGAGCACCAAGGGUUCCACAACUGAGCAAGAGGCAGAAAUCUGAGAAGGAAUAAUAGCCUUUAUGAGGCACUUUACUGGGAGACUUUCAUCCUUGGUACCCAUCUGUAAUGGAGCAUGAAUAUGCAUGCAUAUGAAAGUAUUUCUCACGCGAAAGUGGCUAUGCUUGUGCACACAUGUGUGUGUGUGAGGGAAAUUCUUUAAAUUGCCUUCUGUCAAAUGAAGUUUUACUGCAUUGAUUUAAGAUUUUGCAUGAAAUAAACAGCAUUUAUAUUUUUGGGUAAGUUGUACAAUUGGCUACUGAAAUUAUUUAUGUGCAGAACACGCCUGGCUACAGAAGCAGCAACAGCGGCAACUUCAGCAAAUCCUACUGGUAUGGAAUUAGAUUGUCCAGUGGAUCCAAAUGAACCAACCUACUGUUUCUGCCAGCAAGUUAGCUAUGGAGAGAUGGUAGCUUGUGAUAACCCUCAUUGCACCAUAGAAUGGUUCCAUUUUGGCUGUGUUGGUCUGAAAGAACAACCAAAAGGGAAAUGGUAUUGUUCAGAUUGUGCUGCUGUAAAAAAUCGACGGAAAGGCAGAUGAUGUGGAGUACUGUGUUCUAGGAAUUGUAUAUGUGGAAUUUGAUAAUUUUUUUUAUUGGAAAACUGAUUUCAUAUUAACUAAUCUUUUUUUCCCCUUAUUUUUGGAUUAUUCUGGGUUUCAGGAAUUUCUUUUUGUUGAUUUUCAUAUUAGUGAUUUCAGCUAACCUGCAAUUCUGUACCAUUAUAAUUGUAUGAAGACUAUGUUAAAACUAGUUUUGGUAGAUGAUCACCGCUUGCAUUGGAAAUAAAUUUU
rnacentral:misc_RNA from 1 species